AUAUUGGGCGUAAGAGCUCGUAGGCGGUUUGUCGCGUCUGCUGUGAAAUCCCGAGGCUCAACCUCGGGCUUGCAGUGGGUACGGGCAGACUAGAGUGCGGUAGGGGAGAUUGGAAUUCCUGGUGUAGCGGUGGAAUGCGCAGAUAUCAGGAGGAACACCGAUGGCGAAGGCAGAUCUCUGGGCCGUAACUGACGCUGAGGAGCGAAAGCAUGGGGAGCGAACAGGAUUAGAUACCCUGGUAGUCCAUGCCGUAAACGUUGGGCGCUAGAUGUAGGGACCUUUCCACGGUUUCUGUGUCGUAGCUAACGCAUUAAGCGCCCCGCCUGGGGAGUACGGCCGCAAGGCUAAAACUCAAAGGAAUUGACGGGGGCCCGCACAAGCGGCGGAGCAUGCGGAUUAAUUCGAUGCAACGCGAAGAACCUUACCAAGGCUUGACAUACACCGGAAACGGCCAGAGAUGGUCGCCCCCUUGUGGUCGGUGUACAGGUGGUGCAUGGUUGUCGUCAGCUCGUGUCGUGAGAUGUUGGGUUAAGUCCCGCAACGAGCGCAACCCUCGUUCUAUGUUGCCAGCGGGUUAUGCCGGGGACUCAUAGGAGACUGCCGGGGUCAACUCGGAGGAAGGUGGGGAUGACGUCAAAUCAUCAUGCCCCUUAUGUCUUGGGCUUCACGCAUGCUACAAUGGCCGGUACAAAGGGCUGCGAUACCGUAAGGUGGAGCGAAUCCCAAAAAGCCGGUCUCAGUUCGGAUUGAGGUCUGCAACUCGACCUCAUGAAGUCGGAGUCGCUAGUAAUCGCAGAUCAGCAACGCUGCGGUGAAUACGUUCCCGGGCCUUGUACACACCGCCCGUCAAGUCAUGAAAGUCGGUAACACCCGAAGCCGGUGGCCUAACCCUUGUGGAAGAGCCGUCGA
rnacentral:rRNA from 2 species